rnacentral:rRNA from 1 species
AUUGAACGCUGGCGGCAGGCCUAACACAUGCAAGUCGAGCGGAAACGAGUUAUCAAAGCCUUCGGGUGGAGAUAACGGCGUCGAGCGGCGGACGGGUGAGUAAUGCCUGGGAAAUUGCCCUGAUGUGGGGGAUAACCAUUGGAAACGAUGGCUAAUACCGCAUAAUAGCUUCGGCUCAAAGAGGGGGACCUUCGGGCCUCUCGCGUCAGGAUAUGCCCAGGUGGGAUUAGCUAGUUGGUGAGGUAAUGGCUCACCAAGGCGACGAUCCCUAGCUGGUCUGAGAGGAUGAUCAGCCACACUGGAACUGAGACACGGUCCAGACUCCUACGGGAGGCAGCAGUGGGGAAUAUUGCACAAUGGGCGCAAGCCUGAUGCAGCCAUGCCGCGUGUAUGAAGAAGGCCUUCGGGUUGUAAAGUACUUUCAGCAGUGAGGAAGGUGGUGUCGUUAAUAGCGGCAUCAUUUGACGUUAGCUGCAGAAGAAGCACCGGCUAACUCCGUGCCAGCCGCCGCCGUAACAC